GAUGAACGCUGGCGGCGUGCCUAAUACAUGCAAGUCGAGCGAACAGACGAGGCGCUUGCGCCUCUGACGUUAGCGGCGGGCGGGUGAGUAACACGUGUAUAACCUACCUAUAAGACUGGGAUAACUUCGGGACACCGGAUCUAAUACCGUAUGAUAUCUUGAACCACAUGGUUCAAUAGUGAAAGACGGCUGUUCUGGCACUUAUAGCUGGAUACGCGCCGCAUUAGCUAGUUGGUAAGGUAACGGCCUAUCAAGGCGACGAUGCGUAGCCGACCUGACAGGCGGAUCGGCCACACGGGAGGUGAAACACGGUCAAGACGCCUACGGGACGCAGCAGUAGGGUAACUUACGCAAUAGGCGAAAGCCUGACGGAGCAACGCCGCGUGAGUGAUGAAGGUCUUCGGAUCGUAAAACUCUGUUAUUAGGGAAGAACAAAUGUGUAAGUAACUAUGCACGGCUUGACGGUACCGAAUCAGAAAGCCACGGCUAACUACGUG
rnacentral:rRNA from 1 species